GAAGUCCGCCACAACCUGUAGGUAGCUGCAGUCACAGCACCGGCAGCUCUCAGUGGAUGUACUAAGUGUCGGACCCAGCGUUGUGGGGUGAAGUGAGUGAAAACGCGCGAGCUGUUAUUGAUCGUGGACCUGCAGCCUUCCAUAACCGCACGAGCAGAUACCCAGCAUCAACUCGUGAUGGCGGCUUGGGCGGUAAAGUGCGCUCCGUCACUAACGAUCUGCUGUACAACCGUCUACAAACUGGAGAAAAAGUUUCCCGUGACUGGAGCACCUAUUCACCAUCCACAGAAAUGGAGAGAGACAUGCAACAGAGUCAAAAGGCUUGAAUGGAACCUGGGCAUUGUGGUUCCAUCCCAUGUGCUGUAACUACAAAGGCCUUAUGCUAUGUGUUGCCUUUAACAGGUGUGGUGUCCUGUUUUACACAGGAAAAGCAGAGACAGGAGAUGUUGCGUUCGUUCAGCAGACUGUUCUCUGUCUUUAGUAAGAAAAUGUAUCUUUUUAUUCUCGCUCCAUUCAAAUAAACUGUUUCACAAA